GGCCUUGCUCUUAUGUCAUUUGACUAAAGGUUUCAUAGACCAAAGAUAACCAUCCAACUUGUUGGAAUACUGAAACAAUUGCUGCCUGCUGUCCACACACCACAUAAAAUAUGUGGAUUUUGUAAAUUCUGCAAAAAAGGUUUGGAAGCUGAUCAAUCAAUACUGGAACUCCCUCUUCUCCAGAAGAGACAUCCUGGCCUCCAAGCAGAGGAAUGUGUGGAUGGACAUAUAUUUAAGGAAGACACUAAACCAGAAACUACUACAUUACACCCUCUUAGAAGACUUCUAAGAUUGUUGUCAUGCCUACCACAGACAUUCAGAUGAUGUGUAUUGUUGAUUGUGAUUUCAUGUUUGGACCUGAUGAAGGAGUUUGAAGUCUCCAGAGCAGCAAAGAGAGUGGGGAGUAGAACUAUUCAUCUUUAGGUCACUCAUCAUC
rnacentral:lncRNA from 1 species